rnacentral:tRNA from 1 species
GGGGUCGUAGCUCAAAUGGUAGAGCGCCCGCUUAGCAUGCGAUGCUGAGCGCCGCAGAUGAUAUGCGGGAGGUAGGGGGAUCGAUGCCCUCCGACUCCA